UUGUCGUGGGGCUCACCAAUU
rnacentral:piRNA from 1 species